UUCUGGAGUUCCUUCCUUGGUGAAUCUCUCCCCUGUAAAUAUAGAAUCUUCUGAUACAGGUGUUCAUCUGGCUCACAAGCCAAAACAUCCUGGGAGAGGCUCUUGCAGCCAUGUUUGCAGCCCAUCAGAUAAGGUUUGUGGCCCGGAGCAGGCAUGCUGCUGCGAGGCUCCUGCUCUGGCUGGGCCAAGGACAUCAGGCUGGGGCUUCAAGGCCAGAUCCCAAGUGUGAAGACAAUGCAUAAGACAAUGAUGAAGUGUUCAACCCAAGGAGCAACCUCUGCCAGGGAGCCCUGUGGAACAGCCAAGAGGGAGCAGGGUGAUGAGGAUGGGCAAAGAUGUUUUCUCAGUAGCCUGAUGACACCAGAGCAUGAGAUGGUUGCUGCACAUCCCAAGGGCUUCACUGUGCUGGAUUGUCUGUGUCAACCCCAGGGACUCCUCAGUGCCACAGGAGCCUGUUUUUUCCUUCCAUUGGAAAUGCUUCACAUUGACUUUCUGCUGUUUCUCUAACCCUUCUGGCACUAUGAAUACUUGCAAUUUCUUUUUUCCCAAAGAGCUGAAUCUAGUCACUUUUUUUCCUCCAGGCUUCUGGGGAAACGGAAAGGUACUUAACUUAUGUUUUAUUCAUUGCAGUCACUAUCUCUUGUUAAUUUACUUACAUUAUUUACAGAAUUUUAAAGUAUUUUGUAUGUCAGGCAGCAUCCCAGGCCCUAUAAAAUGCUAAUUUUCCAACUGUAUCAGAGGUAAACAUCUUUCCUGGGCCUCUAGGUGGACAAAGGGUCAUCCCUAUUCUUAAUUCAUUUUUCAUGUUUCUAUAUAUAAAUGCAAUAAAGCCUGCUUGAAUGGCAGAUCUCAAACAA